GGACGUGGAGCAACCUGGCUGUGACAGGUGGCAUCCCAUGAAUUGCUUGGGUUGACUCCACUGAUCUGGCCGGCCAGGUGGGUGCCUCCUUCCUGCCCUCAUUGCUCCACGAGCGCCCCCUCACCUGGGUGCUCGGUUAGAGGAUGACCAGUCUUCAGUGAACGGCAGACGAGCAGCUGUGACCCCUGCCUCCAAACAAGCUCGCAAAAUGGACGUCAGUGAGAAGCAAACUUUUAGUAGUUUCAAGGUAAAUAUGUUUUUGUACAUCUU
rnacentral:snRNA from 1 species